UACGAAGGGGGCUAGCGUUGUUCGGAAUCACUGGGCGUAAAGCGCACGCAGGCGGAUUGAUAAGUCGGGGGUGAAAUCCCGGGGCUCAACCUCGGAAUUGCCUUCGAUACUGUCUGUCUUGAGUCCGGGGAGAGGUGAGUGGAAUUCCUAGUGUAGAGGUGAAAUUCGUAGAUAUUAGGAGAACACCAGUGGCGAAGGCGGCUCACUGGCCCGGUACUGACGCUCAUGUGCGGAAAGCGUUGGGGAGCAAACAGGAUUAGACU
rnacentral:rRNA from 1 species